GCGGCGGAGGCGGCCGCGGCGGCGAAGGAGGCGGCGGCGAAGGAGGCGGCGGCAGCGGCUGAGGAGAAAGAGGAGUGGCGGCGCUGGCGGCGGGGACCCGUGCCGGGAUGGCGGAGGUACCGCCUGGGCCUAGCAGCCUCCUCCCACCCCCGGCACCUCCGGCCUCGGCGGCGGCUGAGCCCCGCUGUCCCUUCCCGGCGGGGGCCGCCCUCGCCUGCUGCAGCGAGGACGAGGAGGACGACGAGGAGCACGAAGGCGGCGGCGGCGGCGGCAGGAGUCGGGCGGGCGGCGAGGCGACGGCGGCGGCCAAGGGGCAUCCGUGCCUCCGGUGCCCUCAGCCGCCGCAGGAGCAGCAGCAGCUCAACGGAUUGAUCAGCCCCGAACUGCGGCACCUCCGGGCGGCCGCCUCGCUCAAGAGCAAGGUUUUCAACGCGGCCGAGGCGGCCACGACCACGGCCACCCCCGACGGGGGCCCCAGAGCGACUGCCACAAAAGGAGCCGGGGUCCGCUCGGGCGAGAGCCCCCCGCGCUGCCUCCCCAGCCACGCCAGAACUGCGCUCCCGGGCCCCGCGGAGGCCGCGGCGGCCCGCAAUGGACUGGCGGAGGGCGCCGAGCAGGAGCAGGAGGAGGAGGAGGACGAGCAGGUGCGGCUGCUGUCUUCCUCCCUGACCGCCGGCUGCAGUUUGAGGAGCCCCUCCAGCCGGGAGGCGGAGCCCGGGGAGGAUCGGACGAUACGUUAUGUCCGAUAUGAAUCCGAGCUGCAAAUGCCCGAUAUCAUGAGACUGAUCACCAAAGAUCUGUCCGAACCCUACUCCAUUUAUACCUAUAGAUAUUUUAUCCACAACUGGCCACAGCUGUGCUUCUUGGCCGUGGUAGGGGAGGAGUGUGUAGGUGCCAUCGUUUGCAAGUUGGACAUGCACAAAAAGAUGUUCCGCAGAGGUUAUAUAGCCAUGUUAGCCGUGGAUUCCAAAUACAGGAGAAAUGGCAUUGGUACUAACUUGGUUAAGAAAGCUAUAUAUGCCAUGGUUGAAGGAGACUGUGAUGAGGAGCACCUGACUGGAGACAAGAACACCUGGACAUCUUUGCACAACCUGCUGAGCAGAGGAUCACUGGGGUCUGGCUGAUCACAGGAUGCUUGCAGCUAUUGGGAUGUGAUCCCCUCAGCUUCCGGUGGAGAGACCUGUGGUUAAUGUCCUCUCUUCAUUGCCGGGAGGGCAAUAGAGUAAUCUAUAUAAUAAAAAGGUAUAUUUCUCUAUUUUUAUUGGACUUUGGAUUCAGCACCAUGACAUUGAAAGUCUGAUGAUGUUUCAAUCUGCUUCAUGUCUGAGCUGGCUCCAGGCAAGACAAGUGAAUUAUUGGUCAGUUCCGUCCCGCUAUAAAAAUCAGCGUGCUGGGCUCAGUCUUCUUUCAAUAACGGGCAGAUUGGUUGUGGCUGGGACCCAGUCCUAAACAUCAGGGAUAUUUUGCCUCUUCAGAAAAAGUUUGAGGGACGUGAAAGGAAAAACACUUUAAGUAGGGAAUCAGCCUUCUGCAAUGAAAGGCAGCGCGGGGGAGGGCGUAUUUGGCUCACUGCCAUUGUGCCAGUGUCAACACCUUUUAAAAAAUAAAGAAAAUAGCACCUAUAUGAAGUCAUGGAUAUGUUAAUUUGUUGAUUUCAGUGAUCAUUUCACAAUGUAUGUGUACAUGAAACAUCAAGUUGUACACCUCAAAUAUAUACGAUUUUUCUUUGUCAAAUAUACUUCAAUAAAGCUGAGAGAGAGAGAGGAAUAGUCCUUAGGCCUGCUCUCCACAUCCCAACCCUCACCAUCCUUGUCUUCCAGCUGAUGAGAGACAGGUCUAGACUUUGGAUAAGUAUUCUUGGGCUGGAGCAAUUUCUAGCAGACUCCUAUGUUUCUGUCAUCCUGCUCUCAGAUCUGCUAUGGUAGGGAUCUAGGUAAAAUGAAAUAAUUGCAAAAGAAGAUGGGGAAAAUGUGAUAGCCCUAUAAGGAAGCAACAAGGAGAUUUAACCUAGACUAUAUACCAUAUAACUAUAUGAUGUAUAUCACAUAGCUACUACCUAUGACUUAUUACUGAUAACAGCUAACACAUAAAAGUUCACAAAAGGUAUUCUUUUUUAUAAGUUAGAGUCAGUGGCAUCCUAUAAUAAUGUUACUUGAGCCUGAUAUUUUUUUCUUGCCUGAAAGAGAAAUGAAUAGAGUUCCAGCUGAACCUCCAGAAAACAUGCCAGGGUCUGUGGACCAUUUUGACUACUGUGUAUUGAAGCAGAAAGUUGAGAGCUCCUGGGACGGGGCUAGGAGGUAAGGAUCAUGAUUUUCUUCUAGUGGGGUCCUGGCUCUUGGAUGUCCCCAUUUUAUUUUAGUAGAUAUUCUUCGGGAAUAGCUAUUAAGCACAUUUAACAUUUAACUGAGAAAGAAAGAAUGAUGAUCGAGUCCAUUCUCUAGUUCAGAAUAGAAAGGGAAAUUAAUUAAAAUUGGAGUUGAGUAUUUUUCAUUGUCUUUUGUGAACAAUCUCUCCCUCCUGCCCUUUAACCAAAGCAACUAAAAUUAAACACUCAUCAGUUUGCCACAGCAGUGAGGCAACCAAAGGCCUUACACAGUAUAAUGUGAGUCAGCUAUGAUGUAAGGUAGCUCUUUUGUGUAGAUCUGUUCCCCUCUUUCUUAGGUUUGUAUCGAGAUGGUUACCUUACAUUGUUUUGCAUUUGGGCAUCUCAGGAUUUUGACCCUGUUAUAAGCUGGAGUCUAGAGGGAACCACAGAAUGUUGAGGCAUCACACAGCAUCUUAUGUAGUGGUUACUUUUAUGGGCUUUGAUAUGAGAAAGCCUGGUUUCAAAUGCUGAUGCAGCCACUUAUAGCUCUGUGAUCCCUGAGCGUUACAUCACUAAGAGUGUCUGGUUUCCUUACCUCUAAAAUGAAGAGAAUAGUAAUGAUGCUUAUUUCACAGGGAAAUAAGAUGAUUAAGCAAAACAAUGCACAGAAUAUACUUAGGAGAGGGCCUGACUCAGAGUAAGUAUUUAGUACAUGUGAGUUGCUUAUAUUAUUAGCAGUGGAAAUAUGGGGACCUUUAUUUUACAAAAUUGAAAAACGAAAACUUGUUAUUUUAGCACAAAGACCUGAACAUUAUGCUAAUUUCUAAGAUCGGAAUAUGGCAAGAAAAUCAAACUGUGGACACAGAUCAUCUUGGCCAGGGUUAUAAACCGGCUAAGUGUUUGUGUUAUACUCAGCCUGAGCUCGGGGUCCCACAGGAAGUUGCUGCAUUUCUUCCCGAAGAGCUGUGGCCCAUCCUGCCUACUGCCUUGUUCCACGUGGAUUGAGUUACUAAUGUUCCUUACAAGCCUCUCUUCCUCAAUGAUAGACACUCACUUAUUUAUGGAAAUUAAAUCUUUUCUUUUGCAUAUUUUUUAAAAUUUAUCUUUAUUGUUGAAAGUAUUACAGAUGGCCCCCUCUUCUCCCCAUUGACUCCCUCCAAUCUGCCCUUCAGAGGUGGCACCUCUUUAAUAAAGUAAAUGGGCUGGCAGUAUCUUUAAAAAUUAAAUUCCCCAUUUGUGAGGAUGGGGCAUACAUGCUUUAAACACUUUUUAUUUUGAAAUACUUUCAAGUUAACAUAGAAUUUGGGGAAAAAAAUGGUACAAAGAACUCCUAUAUGUCUCUCAUCAACAUUUCCCAAUCUUUAAUGUAGGGACCCACUCAGAAUUCCAGAGUUGGUAUAAAUAUUAUUUUAAACUUAAGACAUUUGAGAAUCAACAGAUGGAAAGAAGUCUUCUUGAAGCUUCCCUUAUCUAACUAAAAGCAAUAAUUUCUGGGAAAUAAAGCUGCAAUAAAUUUCUUCUAUGGGCACAUCUAUGCCCACAGGGAGGAACAUGAAUAAAACCUUCCCCAAAUUCCUUCUCAGGGGCAGUUUUAUGGCUGUGAAGGAGACAAAAAACCAUUCAUAUCUGUAUAGACAAGCAUUAUUGGCUAACUUCUUUAUCUCUUGAUUGUUAUCCUAAAAACCCAUUUGUCUUUCCUAAAGAAACCUAUUUAUUCUUCCCAGAAAAGCCUUUUCUCCCCUCUCCUUUCCCCCUAAGUUAGGUAUAUAAGUCUUCAACUUAAAUCAUAUAAAGAGCCAGCUCUUUCUUUAGCAAGCUCCCGUGUGUAUGUGAAUAAAUCUUUUUUUCCUGUUAACCUGUCUUCAGUCAGUUUAAUUUGCAGGCCUCAGAUAUGACAUAAGAGGAUAGAGGACAAGUUUUUCCUCCUCUACAUUAACAUUUUGCCUUAUCUUUCCUGUCUCUUUAUAUAUUUAUUUUUUCUAAACCAUUUGAAAGUUAUAGUCAUGACAUCCCAUUGCCCCUUAAUACUGCAAAGUGUAUUUCCUAAAAAGAGACACUUUCCCACAAUACUAUCAUCUAAGCCCUAGAACCCACUAAAAAUUUGCCCAUUACCUCAGUAAUUACCCAAUAAUAUUCUUCAUAAGUCCAGGAUCCAGUCUAGGAUCAUGUGUUACAUUUAGUUAUCAUUCGUUUUAGUCUCCCUCAACCAAGUGCAGUUUCCCAGUGUUUUCUUAUUUUUAAUGGUAUUGAAAGUUUUUAAAAUUUACCCCGUAAAAUGCUCCUCAGUUUGGGUAUGUCUGAUGUUUCCUCAUGAUUGGAUUCAGAUUAUUCAUCUCAGGCAGGAAUAUUACAGAAGUGAUGUUGUAUUCUCUCAGUGUGUAGUAUUAGGAGGCACAUAAUAGUUACCUGUGCUAUUACUCUGGAUACUAACUUUUAUCACUUGGUUAAGAUGGUGUCUGCCUGGAUACUCUAUUAUAAAGUUGUUAACUAGUAUGUACUUCUUUAUUAAUAAGCAAUGAAUAAGCAUCUUAUAGAGAGAUGCUAUGAGAUUAUGUAAAUAUCCUGCCCCUCAUCAAAUUUUCACCUACUUGUUUUAACAGCUAGUGACGAUUCAUGAUUAAAUCAAUUAUUAUAAUGACAGUCGCCAAAUGGUAAUUUUAUAAUUUCAUUAUUACCUCCCCCCUCUUUUUUUUUUCAUCAAAAACCAGUAUCACAAUUUUGUUUUUCUUUAAUAUUAAACCAGUUAUGACACAUAAUAGCAUUAUCUAGAAAACAUUUUGUCAAAACUCAUGAGUGCAGAUAUAUAAGGAUCAACAAGAAAAGAGAUAAUGCAUCUAACUCACAGAAUAAAGACAAAAUCAAAAGAGUUCAUCUUACACAUCAGAGGAAAUAUAAUGAGCUAAAUCCAUGGUAAUUUGGGUUGAAGGCAUCAUCCCUGUACAUUAAAAUUUAUCAGACUGAUUUUUUUUGUGGCUAUACACCAUACACAAUAUAGUAAAAUAAGCCUCAAAAAGGACAUUGGUUUAAAAAUCUUGGCUUUAAGGAAUGACAAACCCUCUAUACAUAUGUAUUUCUCACCAAUGGAUAUAUUAUUUUAGAGAGAGGAAGGGAGGGAGAGAGAGAAAAAAAAGCAUUGAUGUGUGAGAGAAACCUUGAUCAGUUGCCUCCCAUACAUGCCCCAACUGGGGAUCAAACCCUCAAUCUGGGUAUGUGCCCUGACCCAGAAUCUAACCCACCACCCUUUGGUCUAUGGGACGACACUCACACCAGCUGAGCCACACCAGCCAGGGCUUACCUUUAUGUUUUUUUAUUUGGCAUUCUCUUAUAAGGUAGAACUUUUCCUUUCUCCUCAUUUAUUUAUAUAGUAAUUCAUCUAUAUUUUUAAAAGCCUAAUAUGCAAAGUGUCCCCUUGGGAGUUCGACCAGGAGGACGGGCGUUCGAUCACUCACUAUGAUGUGCGCUGACCACCAGGGGGUGGUGCAGAAUGAAGGAAAGCCCUGGCUGGCGGCCGCUAGGGACCCUACCCAUGCACCAAUUUUGUGCACUGGGCCUCUCGUUUAUUUAUAUAAAUAUGGACUUAUGGGCUUCUGUUUUGUUCCAUGUGUUAUUGCCUGUUACUAUGAUUAUUUAUUAGCCCUCUUAGGCUGGCUCCUAUGUCUUUUUAAUGUGUCCCCAUCAUUCUUUGAAGCACUUCCUUACUUUCUGGCACAACACAAUGUUCCAGGCUCACCUGCCAUUUCCUGUCACAGCCCUGGAAUCAGUUAUUUCUUUAAAGAGUCCAGGUUCCUUUUAAGGGAGAAUGUAAUUUAGAAAACAUGAUCUCAAUGCUCAUUGAUAUUGGGAUGUCAUUACUUUCUUUUUAAAAUAUAUUUUUAUUGGUUUCAGAGAGGAAGAAAGUGGGAGAGAGAGAUAGAAACUUCCAUGGUGGAAGAGAAUCAUUGAUUGGCUGCCUCCUGCCUGCCCCACACCAGGGACCGAGCCCGCAACCCAGGCAUGUGCCCUGACUGGGAACCAAACUGUGACCUCCUGGUUUAUAGGUCAGUGCUCAACCACUGAGCCAUGCCAGCCCUGCAGGGUGUGUAAUUACUUUUAAUUCUUCUCAGCAGAGUAGGAAAUAUGUAUGUACACACUCACAUAUAUCCAUAUCUGUCUGUCUGUCUACCUAUCUAUCAUCUAUCUAUAUUAAAAUACCACGAACUCACACUUGAUACCUUCAAUUCCAAUCCAACACCACAGGGCUUUUUAUCCUUUCCUCUUUUACCUAUUUGUAAUGCCUUUCUUCAGCACUGAAAAACUUGGUUCCCAUUAGCAUCAAUAUGUUUGCUUAGUUUGUCAUUUCUCCUGUGUGUAAUCAAUGUCCUAAUGAUACCGGCUACCUCUUUGACCCCAGCCCCACUGACUAUGCUAUCUACACCAGCCAAGUUCUUGACCUUGACUAAGGGAAAUGGAAGGGGAAGAGAUGGUGUACAUUUUCUUUAAUGAAGCCUAAAAUAGUUCUGCUGCUCAAUGUAAUAUAAGUGUUUUUCCUGCUAAAAUCAAAUUCUAAGUUUAAAACAGACAAGUAAAAAUGCAAAGUGAAGAUUCACAUUCAAUUGUUAGUUAAUGAUUGACUUGGCAAGUGAUUAUCUGCUCUGCUUAAUUUUAUUAUCUGAGGCAAUGUAACACCCCGUUGAAGCCAUUAAAGUCAAUCAUUUCAUUGCAUAAUAGACAGAUCUUCCCUUUUUAGUGCAACCAAUAUGCUUAAUUAAUGUAUGUAAAAUUAUGAAAAUCAGAUUUUUCCACCAGUUUAUUAUUUUAUUUUAUUUUAUUUUAUUUUAUUUUAUUUUAUUUUAUUUUAUUUUUGUUAGUCCUCACCUGAGGAUAUUUUUCCAUUGAUUUUUAGGGAGAGUGGAAGAG